rfam:Paenibacillus sp. FSL H7-0331 NODE_24_length_123283_cov_1.31393_ID_12125, whole genome shotgun sequence.
CUUAACUUUAUAACCGAGGAUGGGAACGACGGAACCAAGUAUCCCGAAACCAUCCCGCCAAUCCUCCUGCGCGUGUCAUGUUUAACAGAACAUGAGGUGUGAAGUACAGGUAGAUUCGACAGAACGAAGGGAAAAAAGGUAUGCCAACGGAUAUGUCGCGCGGCUGAAAA